UACGUAGGUGGCAAGCGUUGUCCGGAUUUACUGGGCGUAAAGAGCGCGCAGGCGGCUGGUCAAGUCCGAUGUGAAAUCUCCCGGCUUAACUGGGAAACUGCAUCGGAAACUGAUCGGCUUGAAGGUGGGAGAGGGUAGUGGAAUUCCCGGUGUAGUGGUGAAAUUCGUAGAUAUUCGCAAGAACACCAGUGGCGAAGGCGGCUCACUGGCCCGAUACUGACGCUGAGGCGCGAAAGCGUGGGGAGCAAACAGG
rnacentral:rRNA from 1 species